GAGCAGGAGGAUUGUCUGGAGCCUCAUCCUAAACAUCUUCCACUGCCAUUCAGACCUUUCAGUUGCUUUAUAUGCUGGGUUUCUAAUUUGAUGAUGAUGAGAUAGGAAAAACAAGUCUGAAGCCCAAAGAUAUGUAAGCUAUGAGCUCUGAAGAAGUGCCGGCACAAGACAUUCUCAGUUCAGGUGAUCAGUAAACAUCAAGGUGACCAUGCCAGUGAGGACAAGGCCACAGGCUUACAGUCCUGGGAUGAGCCAGUCAGCAGCUGGUCCAGAAUCAGAGAUGACUGCAGCACAUCCCUAUGGUCUUUAAUGGGAGUGAACUUGGAUUAAGAGGGAAACCAGCACUAGAGAUGUCUUCUCUGAGCUCAUGAAGAAUUAUAAUGGCGAGAAUCAAACCAAACAUUGAUGGACAACUGCAAAGAGCAUUCCACAUAUAAAUGAAAAAUGUUGCUUGCUAAAGAUCUAUAAGGUUGUUUUCAGAAACACAACCUUCUUGAUAUUGUCAGAUAAAUUAAUUAUGAAAGCAAUAAAUGUCUAAAUAUACAGGAAA